UCUGCACUUCACCUUGACUUAUACUGCUCUCCUUCCACCCCCCAAGCAGCUACUGCAUCCAUCAUGAAGUAAUCUGGUUACCGUCACCCAAGUGCCCUCUCCAACCUUUCAAACAUUCUGAAUAACCUAAAACUUCUACGGACCACAGACUGAGAUGAACCUAAAAAAGAAGUUUCUGACCUCUGUUGUGGUGUAAAAUGACGCCUUAACCUGGGCUUCACAGAAAACAGAGCCUGGAGCAAUAGCGUAUGUGCUUCUAUUUGAUUGGAGAGUGAAAGCCCAGGGUCUCCCUCAUUGCCCAGGAUGGAGUGCAGCUCUCUUCAACCUCCGCCUCCCAGGCUCAAACCAUCCUCCUGACUCAGCCUCCCAAGUAGCUGUCACUACAGUUGCGAGCCAUCAUGCCCCACUAAUUUUCAAAUUUUUUUUGUAGAGAUGGGGUUUCUCCAUGUUGCCCAGGCUGAUCUUGAAUUCCUGAGCCCAAAUGAUCCGCCCGCCCCCCGCCCCAGCCUCCCAAAGUUCUGGGGUUAUAGUUGCAAGCCACUGCACUCAGCAUAUUGUAGACACCUUUAUCAAGUAAUAGAAAUGAAGUUCUCAGCAGAAUACAGGGGUCAGCAAACUAUGGCCUUUGGGCCAAAUCCUGUCCACCACCUGUUUUUGUAAAUAAAGUUCUAUGAACACAGCCAUGCUUGCUUAUUUAUGUAUUUUCUAAAGGAGGUUUCAUGCUAAAAUGGCAGAAGUGAAUAGUUGCAACAGAAAUUCCAUGGCCUACAAAGCAUAAAAUAUUUACUCUCAGUCCCUUUACAGAAACUGUUUGCCAGCUCCUGAUCUAAUAAGUUAGUGCUAUUCUCUCCAUUUCCAAGCAGAUGGUCGGAUCAUAUUUCAUGACUGCUUUGAAGUCAGAAGUGACCAUGUGACCUACCUUGGUCUGUAAAGUAUGAGCAGAACUGAUGCGUGUCUUCUCUACAUGGAAAUGUUUAAAAGCCUUUAUGUGAGUUACCAUAUCCUAUUUUCUUAUGUUUCUGCUGUGCAAUUAUUUGCUAUGCUGUAGCUCCCAUCAGCCUACAAUGAACUGCAAUGAACAGAGCCUCCUUGCCAAUUGAAAUUGAUUGUGAAGCAUGAGCAACAGCAAUAAAAAUUGUAUGAGUUUUUUUUUGCCACAGCAUAACAUAUCCUGUCCUGAUAUGAAGUAAACAUGUAAGCAAAUCUUAAUAAUUUUCAAAGAACACAAUGAAUUGAGGAAGCCUGAUUAGGAGAGACUUUGCAGGGAAAUAUCUAAGAUUGGGUAGGGGUGGAAAGAACAAAUAAGGAUUUACUAGGUACAAGGUAGACAUGGGAAUUCCAUGGCAUGUGAAGACUCAUGCUAUGUUUGGGGAAAAUCAGACUAUUUUUAUAGAUAGAAAAU
rnacentral:lncRNA from 10 species